CCCUUAGAUGUUCUGGGCCGCACGCGCGCUACACUGACUGGUGCAACAAGUGUCGCUCCUUGGCCGAUAGGCCUGGGCAAUCUUUGAACGCCAGUCGUGAUGGGGAUAGAUUCUUGCAAUUUUUGAUCUUCAACGAGGAAUUCCUAGUAAACGCGAGUCAUCAACUCGCAUCGAUUACGUCCCUGCCCUUUGUACACACCGCCCGUCGCACCUACCGAUUGAAUGGUCCGGUGAACCCUCCGGAUCGGCUCGCGCCAACGCAAGUUGAGCAAAGGCCGAGAAGUUGGGUAAACCUUACCAUUUAGAGGAAGGUGAAGUCGUAACA
rnacentral:rRNA from 1 species